UACGGAGGGAGCUAGCGUUGUUCGGAAUUACUGGGCGUAAAGCGCGCGUAGGCGGCUUUGUAAGUUAGAGGUGAAAGCCCGGGGCUCAACCCCGGAAUUGCCUUUAAGACUGCAUCGCUAGAAUCCAGAAGAGGUGAGUGGAAUUCCGAGUGUAGAGGUGAAAUUCGUAGAUAUUCGGAAGAACACCAGUGGCGAAGGCGGCUCACUGGACUGGUAUUGACGCUGAGGUGCGAAAGCGUGGGGAGCAAACAGG
rnacentral:rRNA from 1 species